rnacentral:rRNA from 1 species
GUCUAUGGCCAUGCUACCCUGAACAAGCCCAAUCUCGUCUGAUCUUGGAAGCUAAGCAAGGUUGCGCCUGGUUAGUACUUUGAUGGGAAACCACCUAGAAAGACGAGGUGUUGUAGGCG